rnacentral:ncRNA from 2 species
UUCUUAUCCAGAGUGGUGGAGGGAAAUGCCCUGUGAAACCCAGCAACCUAAGUGUUUUUUACUUAAGGUGCUAAUUCAUGCAGAACGAAUGGUUCUGAAAGAUGAGAA